GUGGAUAACCUACCUAUAAGACUGGGAUAACUUCGGGAAACCGGAGCUAAUACCGGAUAAUAUAUUGAACCGCAUGGUUCAAUAGUGAAAGACGGUUUUGCUGUCACUUAUAGAUGGAUCCGCGCCGCAUUAGCUAGUUGGUAAGGUAACGGCUUACCAAGGCAACGAUGCGUAGCCGACCUGAGAGGGUGAUCGGCCACACUGGAACUGGGACACGGUCCAGACUCCUACGGGAGGCAGCAGUAGGGAAUCUUCCGCAAUGGGCGAAAGCCUGACGGAGCAACGCCGCGUGAGUGAUGAAGGUCUUCGGAUCGUAAAACUCUGUUAUUAGGGAAGAACAAAUGUGUAAGUAACUAUGCACGUCUUGACGGUACCUAAUCAGAAAGCCACGGCUAACUACGUGCCAGCAGCCGCGGUAAUACGUAGGUGGCAAGCGUUAUCCGGAAUUAUUGGGCGUAAAGCGCGCGUAGGCGGUUUUUUAAGUCUGAUGUGAAAGCCCACGGCUCAACCGUGGAGGGUCAUUGGAAACUGGAAAACUUGAGUGCAGAAGAGGAAAGUGGAAUUCCAUGUGUAGCGGUGAAAUGCGCUGAGAUA
rnacentral:rRNA from 1 species